rnacentral:lncRNA from 1 species
AUGGAGGCAAUGGUGGGGCGCGCCCUACAGGCCGCUCAGCGCCUGACAGAGGGGGGCAGGAGGGUGGGGGAAGUCAGACGCCGAAUGGAGGAGCUCAAACACAAAAAUCACAUGACCCAGCGCAACCAAUCACAAGACAACAUGACCCAGCGCAACCAAUCAGAAGACAACAUGACCCAGCACAACCAAUCACAAGACAACUUGACACAACACAACCAAUCACAAGACAACAUGACACAACACAACCAAUCACAAGACAACAUGACACAACGCAACCAAUCAGAAGACAACAUGACCCAGCGCAACCAAUCACAAGACAACUUGACACAACACAACCAAUCACAAGACAACUUGACACAACACAACCAAUCACAAGACAACUUGACACAACACAACCUAUCACAAGACAACAUGACCCAACACAACCAAUCACAAGAAAACCCCACACAGCACAACCAAUCACAAGACGACAUGACUCAAGAUAACCAACCCCAGCAAAAUCAGCAUACAAGUCAACAUGACUUAACUCAGAACAUCCCUGAUACAAAUCCAACACCACACACACACACAAACACACAACCCAACCCAACACCACACACACACACUAACACACAACUCAACCUAACACCACACACACACACUAACACACAACUUAACCCAACACCACACACUAACACACAACUUAACCCAACACCACACACUAACACACAACCCAACCCAACACCACACACUAACACACAACUCAACCCAACACCAGACACACACACUAACACACAACUCAACCCAACACCACACACACACACUAACACACAACUCAACCCAACACCACACACACACACUAACACACAACCCAACCCAACACCACACACACAAACACACACUAACACACAACUCAACCCAACACCACACACACACACUAACACACAACUCAACCCAACACCACACACACACACUAACACACAACCCAACCCAACACCACACACACAAACACACACUAACACACAACCCAACCCAUCACCACACACACACACACACACUAACACACAACUUAACCCAACACCACACACUAACACACAACCCAACCCAACACCACACACUAACACACAACUCAACCCAACACCACACACACACACUAACACACAACUCAACCCAACACCACACACACACACUAACACACAACUCAACCCAACACCACACACACACACUAACACACAACCCAACCCAACACCACACACACAAACACACACUAACACACAACUCAACCCAACACCACACACACACACUAACACACAACUCAACCCAACACCACACACACACACUAACACACAACCCAACCCAACACCACACACACAAACAUACACUAACACACAACCCAACCCAUCACCACACACACACACACACACUAACACACAACUCAACCCAACACCACACACUAACACUCAACACAAUCCAACAGCUCACACACACACUAACACACAACUCAACCCAAAACCACACACACACACUAACACACAACUCAACCCAACACCUCACACACACACUAACACACAACCCAACCCAACACCACACAACACAAACACACACUAA